rnacentral:rRNA from 1 species
GGAACUGAAACAUCUAAGUACCCCGAGGAAAAGAAAUCAACCGAGAUUCCCCCAGUAGCGGCGAGCGAACGGGGAGGAGCCCAGAGCCUGAAUCAGUGUGUGUGUUAGUGGAAGCGUCUGGAAAGGCGCGCGAUACAGGGUGACAGCCCCGUACACAAAAAUGCACAUGCUGUGAGCUCGAUGAGUAGGGCGGGACACGUGGUAUCCUGUCUGAAUAUGGGGGGACCAUCCUCCAAGGCUAAAUACUCCUGACUGACCGAUAGUGAACCAGUACCGUGAGGGAAAGGCGAAAAGAACCCCGGCGAGGGGAGUGAAAAAGAACCUGAAACCGU